UACGUAGGGUGCGAGCGUUAAUCGGAAUUACUGGGCGUAAAGCGUGCGUAGGCGGUUCGUUAAGUGCGUCGUGAAAGCCUCGGGCUCAACCUGGGAAUGGCGAUGGAAACUGGCGGGCUGGAGUAUGGGCAGAGGGGGGGUGGAAUUCCGCGUGUAGCAGUGAAAUGCGUAGAGAUGCGGAGGAACACCGAUGGCGAAGG
rnacentral:rRNA from 1 species